UGAGGAAUGGCCAAGUAGUAAGGAAACAAGUUUUGAUCAUGUUAUUUAGAGGUUUGAAUCCUUUUGUCCCAA
rnacentral:tRNA from 1 species